UCAGCUCGUGUCGUGAGAUGUUGGUUAGUCCGCAACGAGCGCAACCCCUACGUUUAGUUGCUAACGCGUGAAGGCGAGCACUCUAGACGAACUGCCGUUGACAAAACGGAGGAAGGUGGGGAUGACGUCAAAUCGUCAUGCCCCUUAUGUUCUGGGCUACACACGUGCUACAAUGGCCGGUACAGACGGACGCAAAGCCGCGAGGUGGAGCAAAUCCUAAAAAGCCGGUCUCAGUUCGGAUUGCAGGCUGCAAUUCGCCUGCAUGAAGUCGGAAUCGCUAGUAAUCGCAGGCCAGCAUACUGCGGUGAAUACGUUCCCGGGCCUU
rnacentral:rRNA from 1 species